rnacentral:rRNA from 1 species
UACGUAGGGUGCAAGCGUUGUCCGGAAUUAUUGGGCGUAAAGAGCUCGUAGGCGGUUUGUCGCGUCUGCUGUGAAAGCCCGAGGCUCAACCUCGGGUCUGCAGUGGGUACGGGCAGACUGGAGUGCGGUAGGGGAGAUUGGAAUUCCUGGUGUAGCGGUGGAAUGCGCAGAUAUCAGGAGGAACACCGAUGGCGAAGGCAGAUCUCUGGGCCGUUACUGACGCUGAGGAGCGAAAGCAUGGGGAGCGAACAGGAUUAGA